rnacentral:rRNA from 1 species
GGCCUCAAGUGAUGUGUGACUACC